rnacentral:rRNA from 1 species
UAGGGAAUCUUCCACAAUGGGCGAAAGCCUGAUGGAGCAACGCCGCGUGGGUGAAGAAGGUCUUCGGAUCGUAAAACCCUGUUGUUAGAGAAGAAAGUGCGUGAGAGUAACUGUUCACGUUUCGACGGUAUCUAACCAGAAAGCCACGGCUAACUACGUGCCAGCAGCCGCGGUAAUACGUAGGUGGCAAGCGUUAUCCGGAUUUAUUGGGCGUAAAGGGAACGCAGGCGGUCUUUUAAGUCUGAUGUGAAAGCCUUCGGCUUAACCGGAGUAGUGCAUUGGAAACUGGGAGACUUGAGUGCAGAAGAGGAGAGAGGAACUCCAUGUGUAGCGGUGAAAUGCGUAGAUAUAUGGAAGAACACCAGUGGCGAAAGCGGCUCUCUGGUCUGUAACUGACGCUGAGGUUCGAAAGCGUGGGUAGCAAACAGG